AUUGAACGCUGGCGGCAUGCCUUACACAUGCAAGUCGAACGGCAGCACGGGUGCUUGCACCUGGUGGCGAGUGGCGAACGGGUGAGUAAUACAUCGGAACAUGUCCUGUAGUGGGGGAUAGCCCGGCGAAAGCCGGAUUAAUACCGCAUACGAUCUACGGAUGAAAGCGGGGGACCUUCGGCCUUGCGCUAGAGGGUUGGCCGAUGGCGGAUUAGCUAGUUGGUGGGGUAAAGGCCUACCAAGGCGACGAUCAGUAGCUGGUCUGAGAGGACGACCAGCCACACUGGGACUGAGACACGGCCCAGACUCCUACGGGAGGCAGCAGUGGGGAAUUUUGGACAAUGGGCGAAAGCCUGAUCCAGCAAUGCCGCGUGUGUGAAGAAGGCCUUCGGGUUGUAAAGCACUUUUGUCCGGAAAGAAAUCCUUGGCCCUAAUACGGUCGGGGGAUGACGGUACCGGAAGAAUAAGCACCGGCUAACUACGUG
rnacentral:rRNA from 1 species